rnacentral:lncRNA from 1 species
CUGGAAAACCAUCUGGACGUUUGCGUUGUAUGGGAUGACGAGAAGCCGGGUCCCUCGUUGCGGGGUGGUGUUGUUCGGAGGAGUCCCCGUGUAGUUGAAAACUAUCGGCGGUGUGUCCGGGAAGUCGCGAGUGAAGACGCCGGAGAUGUUGUUGUAGUAGGCCUGGAGGAGAGCGAUGUCGGGAAGGACGAAGGAGAUGUUGUUCAUGGAGGCCGUGAGCUUGGUCCCAGCGAUCCCCUGGCACACCCGGUUUUCACCGCACGGCUUUGUCCCGAGGCCGAUCGUGAAGAGCAAGCU